rnacentral:rRNA from 1 species
UUAUAACUUAUUAUUAUAAUAAAUUUAUUAAUAAUUGUAAGAAAAAUAAUUUAAACAUAAAUAAAUUAGUAUUUAUCAAGAAAUUUAUAUAAGAUAAUAGUUAAUAGUAUUGUAAAAGAAUGUUAAUAUAUUACUAAAAUAAUUAAAUAAUACAAAUUUAAAUGUGCCUUGUGUAUCAUAAAAUAAUAAACUAAUUUUUAUAGAAAAUAAUCCCGAAAAAGAGGUAGUUAAAUUAUUAAAAAAAUUUUUGUAUUAACAAGAUUAAUAAUAAUAAUUUAGAGGUGAAAUGUCAGUCGAACUUUUAUAUCUGGUUUUAAAUAAAAUGAAUUUAAUUCAAGCUUUAUUAAUUAAAAUAAAGUUAAAGGGCAGGGGGGUGAGCUCUUUGUCCAACUAUAAAAUAAUAUAAAUUAAAAUAAAAUUUUACUGAGAUUUAGGCUUAUAAGUAGCCAUUUUUAAAAAGUGUUUUAACUAAUACUUGUUAUAUUUUAAUAUUUUAAAUAAUUUUAUUAAAAAUAAUUUAAAACUUUUAUAAAUAAUAAUUAUUAGUAUAAUUUAUAUUAUUUAAAAAUUUAUUUUAAUUUUUAAAAAUAUUAUAAUUUAAAUUGAUAUUUAAAAAGAACUCGGCAAAGAGAUUCUUGCCUGUUUAACAAAAACAUGUCUAUAUGAAGGUGUAUAUAGUUUAACCUGCUCACUGAUUAUAUUAAAGAGCCGCAGUAUUUUGACUGUGCGAAGGUAGCAUAAUAAAUUGUCUUUUAAAUGGAGGCUUGAAUGAAAGGUUGGACAAAGUGUCAUCUGUUUCUUAAAUAUUUAUUGAAUUUGACUUUCAAGUGAAAAGGCUUGAAUAAAUUAAAAAGACGAUAAGACCCUAUAAAUCUUUACAAUAAAUAUAUUUUAUAUUUUAGUUUAUUAAGUGUAUAAGAUAUUGAAUAUAUAGUUGUUUCGCUGGGGCGGCGUGGAUAUAUUAAUAAACUGUCUAUAUAUUAAAACCAAUAAUUAUUGAUUAAUAAAAAUGAUCCUUAAAUAGAUUAGAAGAUUAAGAUACUUUAGGGAUAACAGCGUUAUUUUUUUUGAGAGUUCUUAUCGAAGAAAAAGUUUGCGACCUCGAUGUUGAAUUAAAGUAUCUUUAUGGUGCAGCCGCUAUAAGAGAGAGUCUGUUCGACUUUUAAUACUUUACAUGAUUUGAGUUCAGACCGGCGUGAGCCAG